rnacentral:lncRNA from 1 species
UUUCACAUUUCAUAUAAAUAUUCACAUGUAAAUAAAACAAUUGUGCUUUAGCACGUACCCCGUGCCUAUUUUGCUAUAGACAUCCACCGUAGUCUUAUCAUUUUAUGCACCCAUAUCCAAGGCUCAACAUAACAUGUAGAAACGUAAACAAGUUUAUUGACAUUAUUUACAUAACAGAGUUCAUUAUCAACAUGACAAUUCAAAACUAGACUAGACACAUUGUAAAGUGUACAACAUUGGAAGGCUGAAAAAAAGGCUCUACCACACCUACCUCGAAUGAG